rnacentral:misc_RNA from 1 species
AAAGAGAGUGAAAGGAUCCUGCAGUCUGAAGAAGAAUAGUGUGAAAUCGUACCUGAAACAUUUACAAUGAGUAACAGCUUGUUACAUAGUCAUUAUUCGAGUGGUGGAAUCCCAUCAGAGAUUGCUGAGAAUCUAAAAGAUUUUUUUCCUGAGGAUGGCGAUUUGAGUUAUGAAGAAGUUCUUUUGCAACAGGAAACUGUUUACUUAUCAUUUCAAGCAAAUGGAAAAAACAAGAGUAUGAGCUCUGAAUACGGUCAAACCAGUAGCGGGCAUCCGUUAUCAGCACAAAAGGGUGAUUCUUCUCAAAG